rnacentral:rRNA from 1 species
UACAGACUCCUACGGGAGGCAGCAGUGGGGAAUAUUGCACAAUGGGCGAAAGCCUGAUGCAGCAACGCCGCGUGAAGGAAGAAGGGUUUCGGCUCGUAAACUUCUAUCAACAGGGACGAAAGAAAUGACGGUACCUGACUAAGAAGCCCCGGCUAACUACGUGCCAGCAGCCGCGGUAAUACGUAGGGGGCAAGCGUUAUCCGGAUUUACUGGGUGGAAAGGGAGCGUAGACGGCUUGGCAAGCCAGAUGUGAAAGGCUGGGGCUCAACCCCAGGACUGCAUUUGGAACUGUCAUGCUAGAGUGUCGGAGAGGCAGGCGGAAUUCCUAGUGUAGCGGUGAAAUGCGUAGAUAUCAGGAGGAACACCGGUGGCGAAGGCGGCCUGCUGGACUGCAACUGACGUUGAGGCCCGAAAGCGUGGGGAGCAAACAGGAUUAGAUACCCCGGUACUA